rnacentral:lncRNA from 1 species
CUAUCUUUUUUUCCAGAAUCGAAACAUUAAUACAUACCUGUGAAUUGCUAAUUAUAUUAAUCAUAAAUCACUAUUCUAAACUGGUAAUUUCCAAACCAGGAAGAGAUAUUAAUACAAUAAUAUAAAAUCGAUAACUGCAAGUAUGAACUAUUUCCGGAAACUUUUUCUUUCCAAACAAGCUAGAUACACAUAUUGAUAAAUUAAAAUUUCAUAUAUACUUAUUUAUUUACGGUUGAAAAUGAAAUAUUUAUAACAUAGAUUAGAUAAAUUGUAAUGUUUUAUUGUUAAACAGAGAGAAAUCCUGGAUUUCUUGUUAAAACAAAGAUACCCUUCUCUAGAAUGCUGGACUAGUGAAGUAAAUUGUUAACAGCAAGCAAUAUAUUGUUGAAUAAAAAAAAAAAAAAAAAAAGAA